GAGUUUGGUGAGAGAUUUACUCGUGGGACUCGACUGAACACACCUGGCCAUCACCACCGAAAACGAAUCACAGAACAUUUUCAUCACCUGAGAAAAUUCCCUCCUAACCCUUCCCAGCUCCCCACGUCCGCCCAGAGAUAACCUCUUUCUGACUUCCACCACCAAAAGUCGUCUUUUCCUGCCUCCGGGAGUCACAAGAACGGAAUUAUACACAAUGUGUUUGUGUCUGUAAAUAUCUUCUUUUGUGAAAUAUGAGUUCAAGUCAUUUACCCCCAUUUCUUUCCUGCUCACCGCAUUUGGACAAGCACAGCUCUGGAGGAUUAAAGGGCGUCUUAGGAGUUUCCUGUAGUUAUUAACCUGUCACCAUCUUGCUUGUGUGGCUCCAAUCCUUCCAGCACCUUUAUAAAGUUGUCUGUUUCAAAUUCCUUAUUUUGAAACACGCGGAGAGGAUUCUGUUUUUCUAAUGCAGAGCAUGAAGAGCAAGCAGGAAGAUUAUUACUUAUGAGUUGUCUUCGAGGGGCUCUGAGAAGCUGAAAUUAUUGUCCCGAAUCACACCCUGGAAGCAAACCCCAUCCGGUUCUCUCUCUUGAGCUUUACCAUCAUUUAAACUCUAAGCCCUUGAUCACUCUCUAGAACAGGGGCAGCAAACAUUUAUUUGCAAAGAGUCAGAUAGCAAAUGUGGUGGCUCACAUAGUCUGUGUCGUAAGUACUCUGCCAUCACAGCAUAAAAGCAGCCAUUGACGACGCAUAAACAGUGGGCAUGGUUAUAUUCCAAUAAAACUUUACUUACAAAGGUAGGUGGCAAGCCAGAUUUGGCCCACCAGUGGUAGUUUGUUGACUUCUGCUCUAGAGAGUUGAAAAUGUAACAGGAAAGGGUAGAACUGAUUAUCACCCAGGGAAGAUGAUCCUUCAUUUCAAUCAUCCAUUGUUACUCAUUUAUCUACUUUUCAAUUCAUUUUUCAGAUAUUCAUUGAAGCUGCUCUAGGUACCUGGGAUAAAAUGGAGAUUAAUACAUGCACAAUUCAAAAAGGAAUAUUUCAUUUGAUAGAUAAAGCACAAGAAAUCUAAUAUUCAGUAAGCCUGGAAAUGGCCCUCAAACUCUAAAUGCCAACCCUUUUCCUGGUAACUUUUUACCAGUCAGAGGCACACUGCCACCUGCCUUUGUGUGAUCUUGUCAUGACUGUAACUUCUACUUAAGAAGUCCCCCCCUUAUGAAAUGAAAGGGUAUUCAUUACACAGAUGAGCAUUAGCUUUCCAAUCCAAGUGCAAGGCUUUAAUCAGCCCUGAGAAACACUUGAAACACACAGAACCUCUAAAUUGCAUUAUCCUCUGGAAAAAAUAUAUCCACUCCCCCAUACAGAAAACAAUUCCCUUGUUCUUAUCAUGGAAGAAACAAAAGAUACCAACAGAAUGCUUUCAUGUAUCCCUUAAAUAAUGCCUAUAAUUAAAUGUACCAUGUGCCUGAUCGAAUAAAAUAUCAUUUGCUUUCCA